rnacentral:rRNA from 1 species
UACGUAGGCAGCAAGCGUUAUUCGGAAUUAUUGGGCGUAAAGGGCGCGUAGGCGGCUUGGCAAGUGGAAGGUGAAAUCCCUCGGCUUAACCGAGGAACUGCCUUCCAGACUGCUUUGCUUGAGGCCGGGAGAGGCGAGUGGAAUUCCCAGUGUAGCGGUGAAAUGCGUAGAUAUUGGGAGGAACACCAGUGGCGAAGGCGGCUCGCUGGACCGGUUCUGACGCUGAGGAGCGAAAGCGUGGGGAGCGAACAGG